CCCCGGGCCUGCCUCAGUAGCGGCGAGUGAAGCGGCAAGAGCUCAGAUUUGAAAUCGCCUCGGCGAGUUGUAAAUUGCAGGUUGGAGUCUUUGUGGCGGCGUGUGUCUAAGUCCCUUGGAACAGGGCGCCAUUGAGGGUGAGAGCCCCGUGCGGCACGCGUCCAAGCUUUAAGACCCUUCUGACGAGUCGAGUUGUUUGGGAAUGCAGCUCUAAGUGGGUGGUAAAUUCCAUCUAAGGCUAAAUACUGGCGAGAGACCGAUAGCGAACAAGUACUGUGAAGGAAAGAUGAAAAGCACUUUGAAAAGAGAGUGAAACAGCACGUGAAAUUGUUGAAAGGGAAGGGUAUUGGGCUCGACAUGGGGACUGCGCACCGUUGCUUCUUGUAGGCGGCGCUCUGUGCGGUUUCUGGGCCAGCAUCAGUUUUUGCCGCGGGAGAAUGGGGGGAGGAACGUGGCUCUUCGGAGUGUUAUAGCCUCUCUCAGAUGCCGCGAGCGGGGACUGAGGUCUGCGAUUCGUUCAAGGAUGCUGGCACAACGGCGCAAUACCGCCCGUCUUAAAAAACCGGACCAAAAGGGGGCGUCUCGUACCAAAACAAGGAAAUUAAAAAUUAAAAGGAAAA
rnacentral:rRNA from 1 species